rnacentral:lncRNA from 1 species
CUAGCCCAAUCUUGCCUCUUCCUCUCUCCUCUUCGGUCCACCAUUCCUUCCUCUUCCCCCGACCUUGAGAUCAGUGGGGGCUCUGAUCUUGGUUUUGGACUUUGGGGGUUAUGAUCUGAUAUGGGGUUCUUAUGGUUAGGGUUUUUCAGAUCUAGUUGUUUAUAUGAUCUUACCGGCAACUGGGUUCUGGUGAUCUUGUCUGCACGGUUGAGCUAAUUUUUUGUGCACUUUUCGAUCUGGGUGUUAUGGUUUUCUUUGCUUAUCUUUUAUGCUCUGAUUUGGAUGUGUCUCACUGUGGGUUAGAUGCGUUUUAUCUGAUUCCUUUUCGUUCCAGUUCAUUUUGAUUCAGGCUUCACUUCUAUUUCUUUAUUUCAAAUGUUAUGGUGUUUUCUUUUUUGGUUUGAUUUGGUGUAGUAUGUGGUUGCAUUUUGGUUCGGUUUUUAUCCAAUUAGAUCUGUUUAUAUUGCUUUCUUGAUUCUUGAUUUGAUUGGAUAAUGGGUUUGAUCAAUCUGUUUUUUUGUAUGGCCUCUGCCUUUUCCACUAUGAUUUGUGUGGGUUUCUUGCAGAAUCUGAGGAGUUGGUUUUGAGGUCUUUACGGAUUUCUUACGGAUUCGUGUGAUUUCUUGGUCUUUGCAUCAUGGUAUAUGUAGGGGUGCUCAUCGGUAAAAAAUUAAACCGAUACCGAUAAUAUCGAAUCGAUACCGAUCCGAAAUUAUCAAAAAAC